rnacentral:tRNA from 1 species
AGUUAAUUAAUUUAAAAAAAUAUUUAUUUUGAAAAUAAAAAUUAGAAUAAAGAAUUCUAUUAACUU